rnacentral:miRNA from 1 species
UCCCAGUACUCUCUCCCUCAUU